ACUGUUAUAGUAAAAAGAAUUAUGUUACUUUGAUGAGGUAAAGUUUUAAAAUAGUA
rnacentral:tRNA from 1 species